CGGCAGCACGGAGCUUGCUCUGGUGGCGAGUGGCGAACGGGUGAGUAAUAUAUCGGAACGUACCCAAGAGUGGGGGAUAACGUAGCGAAAGUUACGCUAAUACCGCAUACGAUCUAAGGAUGAAAGCAGGGGACCGCAAGGCCUUGUGCUCCUGGAGCGGCCGAUAUCUGAUUAGCUAGUUGGUGGGGUAAAGGCCCACCAAGGCAUCGAUCAGUAGCUGGUCUGAGAGGACGACCAGCCACACUGGAACUGAGACACGGUCCAGACUCCUACGGGAGGCAGCAGUGGGGAAUUUUGGACAAUGGGGGCAACCCUGAUCCAGCAAUGCCGCGUGAGUGAAGAAGGCCUUCGGGUUGUAAAGCUCUUUUGUCAGGGAAGAAAAGGCUGUGGCUAAUAUCCACGGCUCAUGACGGUACCUGAAGAAUAAGCACCGGCUAACUACGUGCCAGCAGCCGCGGUAAUACGUAGGGUGCAAGCGUUAAUCGGAAUUACUGGGCGUAAAGCGUGCGCAGGCGGUUUUGUAAGACUGUCGUGAAAUCCCCGGGCUCAACCUGGGAAUGGCGAUGGUGACUGCAAGGCUAGAGUUUGGCAGAGGGGGGUAGAAUUCCACGUGUAGCAGUGAAAUGCGUAGAUAUGUGGAGGAACACCGAUGGCGAAGGCAGCCCCCUGGGUCAAAACUGACGCUCAUGCACGAAAGCGUGGGGAGCAAACAGGAUUAGAUACCC
rnacentral:rRNA from 1 species